GACAAGACAGACCCAUCCAGUGCCUCGUUAGCCAUAAUGAUGUCAGACUCAUAAUGAGCUGACAGGAAGGGAUCAGCAAGUUUGAGAUGAAAAUAAACAGACCUUCAGUAGCCAGGCCAGCUGAAGCGUCAUGGCAGACAGAUCGCUCACGUCAGCCAUCCCGCGGGAGUCGUCUAGACGUAGGAAGACCUGCGCGAUGAUGUCAUCUCUGCUGACGUGGGAAUAAUGAAUCAGUAAUUGGGGUAAAGUUAGUAGAUCUGCAAG